rnacentral:misc_RNA from 1 species
GUUUUCUUCAACAUUGCCCUGUUCACAACUGGACUGGCUAUAACUUUGCUCGUAUGGCCGACAGUCACCGAGCAACUUCACUUGACGCGCAAUGUUCAUCACAAUGUCGAGACAGCAUGCCCAACGGCUAAGACCGGUCUUCUGGGUGGUGGUGCGUUUCUAUCCCUUGAUUCAUCCCUCUUCUGGUUGGUUGCCCUGAUGUUGGCUGGAAAUGCUCGUGAGGACUACUUUGAUGAAAUAGCCGAUAAAGGAGCCAAUUCUGAAUCUCUUAAGAGCAGCG